GCCCUUGAGUGGAAAGAGGAAGGUAGAACCCGAGGCUCCCAGUGGGUUGGGCCCGGUCAGAGAGCAACGCGCGUGCGCACUUAUGUCCCUGCAGCCUACAGUGUGGUGCAACCAAAUGAUAGAUGGACAAUGUUAACCUGGGAGGGGAUGGGCGUAAGAGAUCUAUUCGUCUACAUUUGGAGGAAGCGUAUUGGUCUGUGAUAGGACUGUGGGCAAGCUCUUGAACUCUGCCUAGUGCUUCUUAUUUGUAAUAUGAGGUUUAUUGUACCUAUUUUUGGCAGUUGUGAGGAUUAAAUGGGAUUUUGAUGUGAAACAGUUGACCCAGUGCUAAGCAAUAAUAGUGAUUAUUAAUAAUAGAUAUCCAUCUCCCUAUUUGCACAUAAAAAAACUGAAACUCAGGAAGGAAAAGUAACUUGUUCUGGGUCACCCAGCCAACUGGCACAUACUAGAAAUUAGAAUCCAGGAGCCCUAACUGCCAACAGAGCUUUUUCCCACCACCCCUGCCCUUGUGUAUUCAUUAAGCAUGUUGGAACAGUAUCUUUACCCAUUUUCUGUAUUACCCAUAUUUCAUCUAUGUUUCUGGAUGUCUGUCUGCAGGGCCCUGGGGUAAAAGUAUUGAGACUUGCCAGUGUUUAGGGCUUCCUGACUGACUGACUGCUGAAGUUCUUGACUUUAACCUUAGCUCAAAAGAUACUGCUUCGGGCUCCCUAACUGUGUUAUGUGUAGGGUGUCAGAGAAUGAAAAAAGAAAUACAAUGAAAAAGAAAAAUUCAACCCAGAAUCAGUUGUCUGAGUUCCAGGGAGAAUGCUGGCAAUUCCCAGAAAGAGACACAGAGCACAUGGGAAAGGUUGCUACACCCAAGUCGUGGUGCAGAAGCUGUGAUUAUGGAGAUUGGACCCAUGAACUCCAGAACAGAGCAACCUUGUAAAAUAUGUGUGGGCAGCUCAGAGACCUUGGUUGCUGUAAAGAAAAGUUUCCUCAUCUGUAAAAAGUGACUUAUGGAAAGCACCUGAUACAUGAUCUGCCAUCUAGGGACCCUGCCCUUGCUAAAAGAGGUAGCUUGAGGAGGAAAACAUAGCUGCUCUUCUCCAGGCAGCAAAGUCCCAGAACCCCAUGCAGAUGUUUCAGGGCUUUGUUUCAUUCAAGGAUGUGGCUGUGAACUUCACUGAGGAAGAAUAGAGAGAACUGGACCCUGCCCAGAGAGUCUUGUACAGGGAUGUAAUGCCAGAAAACUAUAGAAACCUAGUUUUCUUGGGAUUUCCAUUUACUAAACCUGUUAUCAUCUCCCAAUUGGAACAAGCUGUAAACCCACAAAUACAAGUGCAGGAGGGAGAAGGGCUAAGAAGCAGCUGGACAUUACAGGGAACAUUUUUACUUUUUUCCCCAGUCUUGGGAACCAGAAAGUCAAAACCAAAGAAGGUAUUUUCUGAAAAAGAAUCAUACCAGGUGAUAGAUACAGAGAGAAACACAAAGGCUGAUGCAAGGACCUCCAGUUUGAAAGAGGCUUGCGGAUAUGAUGUUGACUCAGAAAUCAAACAGGGAACUCAAGAGAGACUCUGGGAACAGGCAACAGUUACUUGUGAGAAAAGAACUUCUACAACAGAUAGUAUCCCCAAAUGUAUUGAAUUUGGCAGACAUGUUAGUCUGAAGUUAGACUUUGUUAUACAACCAAGGUAUCCUAAAGAAGAGAGACCUUAUAUGUAUGAUGCUCAGGGAAGGAGCUUCAAACAGAAUUCAAAAUUAGCCAGACAUCUGAAAGAUAACAAAUGAGAACGUUCUUCAGCAUAAUGAAUGUGGUAAAAUCUUCAGUGAUUACUCAGUUUAUACUCAACAUCGUGUAGUUCAUACUGGAGAGAAAAUUUUGGAAUGUAAUCAAUAUGAUAAGGCCUUUGGUCAUGGUACUUGCUACACUGAACAUCAGAAAACUAAUGUUGGCAAGAAAUCCUAUGAAGGUAGAAAAGCCUAUAUCUUCAACUCAUACCUUACCAAACAUCAUCAGAGUAUUUGCAGUGGAAAGGAAUAUAAUGUGCAUGAAAGAGCCUUAAUUCAGAAUAUAUCACUUAUUCAACAUCAGAGAAUCCAUAAUGGAGAGAAACCUCAUGAAUAUAGUGAAUGUAGAAAAACUGUCAGUAAUUAUUCAACACUUACAGUACAUCAGAGAAUUCAUACUGGAGAGAAACCAUAUGAAUGCAGUGAAUGUGGAAAAGCCUUUAGUCACAACUCUUCCCUUAUUGUCUAUCAGUUUAUUCACAGUGGAGAGAAACUCUACAAAUGUAACAAAUGUAGCAAGGUCUUCAGUCAGAGCUCACAUCUGUAUCAGCAUCAGAGCACUCACACUGGAGAGAAACUUUAUGCCUGCAGUGAUUGUGGGAAAGCCUUUAGGGAUCAAUCACAGAACUCAUACUGGAGAAAAACCCUAUGAAUGUAAAGAAUGUGAUAAAGCCUUCAGUCAGAGCUCAACUCUUCUCAACUCUUAUGAAACACACAAAAAUCCACACUGGAGGGAGACUCUACACCCAUAAAAAUUGUGGGAAAGCUUUCGGCCAGAGUUCAUCCCUUACUCAACAUCAGAGGGUUCAUACUGGAGACAAACCAUUUGAAUGCCAGGAGUGUGGGAAAUCCUUCAGUAGAAGUGCCCAUCUUACUCAGCAUUGGAGGAUUCACACUGGAGAGAAAUCUUGUGAGUGCAAUGAGUGUGGCAGGGCUUUCCAGUUUGGUUAAACCCUCAUGGAGUAUCAGAGACUUCACAGUGGAGAAUCACCCUGAAUGUGUGGACAAAUUCAUUCAGACUCUUCAUUUUGUUAAAUACCAAAGAACCAUACUUUUACAGGUUGUUACAAUUGUGAUGCUUUUUUAUUUUGAGGGAUGGAAACAUGCCUCCCCUCCCCAUUUUCUCUUGAAAGGUAUUAGCUGCCAGAAUAUCACAAAUUCAAGUGAAGAACAUUGAUCUGAAAUCUGGAAUAGCCUAAUAGACUCUAAACAUCAGUCUUUAUGUAUGUAUGUGUGUACUUUUAUUUGUACCCGAAAAUGACUGCUGUCAGCCACCCUGCAGUGGUUUUUCUGCCUGGCCUCAGGAACAGGCCAAGGAAAUCCAGUUGUUCAGAACUGAGCUUGCUGCCCCUUUUUGUACUGAUGGGAAUAGUGCCGUGUCCAAACAAAAUAGAGAAAAUCAUGGUUAA